GCGGAAAUGGCGGAAUUGGUAGACGCACCAGAUUUAGGUUCUGGCGCCGCAAGGUGUGAGAGUUCAAGUCUCUCUUUUCCGCACCA
rnacentral:tRNA from 1 species